AAAAUUGUAGGAGAUAGGGUAUAGGGGAACCCAAUUUUGAUCAGAUGAAAUCCUCUGGUCAACCACCAUCCACCACCUUGAUAACUUGCACUUCUCUUGACAUUUUGGAUUCUUGGGAGAUCAUAUAUGCAUAAGAUGAUGAGAUUUGAGAUGCCCCUUGAAAUAUUUGAUCAAUUGGUGAAAAAGCUUGUUGAAGAAGUUACAUAAGAUACCUAGAUGAACUAGGGUUUCCAAGGCAAACCAAUUCCAAACUCUUGAAGAAU
rnacentral:lncRNA from 1 species